ensembl:lncRNA
AACUUUCCAUGAGUUUGCUAGCAUGGAAGAUGAUAUUCCUUUGCCAGGGAAUGUACUGUGAUUAGCAGACAUCCUCAGGAAUGGAGAAUGGGUCUUAGUGUUGUAACCACUGCAGCUAAUUGCAAGCAAUCCAAACACAGCACCCACAGCAAGCUAUAUCAAAUGUGCAUGUUCUUUGUGCGUGGUGCUGCAAUGCAGAAAGCCUCCCAGCUCACCUCAGAGCAGUUGGCAGUAGCCAGUGACCUACUACUGGCUACCUUCAGUCAAAACUUAGUGGCUUGGCAGGAGUACAAAUGAUGUGCUAGGUACUCCCAAUCUUGGAAAUUUGUGUAAAUGUAUCUGAAGUGGCUCUACAUGUGUGGCAUGGAGCUAGCCCCACUGCUUCCAUAGCACCUAACAGCUGGGCCAAGGCUGCCUAAAACAGCUGGAAAUGCAACCACAUCAUUGACAAUAAAGAUUAUCUGUUAAAAUAAAUAUGAAUAUUAAUAAUUUGAUGGAGUGGCCUUCUUCAGAUUAAGAGCCAUUGGUGAAGAAUCUUAAAAACUUGACCAGUAAAGAUAUUCUUCAGUACAAUAAUGCAUAAUCCCAUUUAGGAUAUACAACCUUUUUUUUUUUUUUUUUGGCUGCUUCAUGUAGCAAGUAAAAGAAAAUGUUUACAGGUUCAUCUUUUUUUUUCUCUACACCAUAGUUGGUAUAAGGAGUUAGUAUUUUAGUGUCUAAAAUGAUUUGAUUAGAAAUAUUGCAAAAACCUAUGGUUCUGUAAUUCUACAGUGAUGCCUGAUAUUUCUUACUCCAGUCAUUUUCCCUAGAGAUAAAUAAUGAGGACUUAUAUUCUCCUGCCAACUUUUAAAACUACAGGAUGUUUUGUAGAAGACAACGUGCAGGAUCCUGAGCAAUUUGCCUCUGAAGUCAGGGAGCAUCUUGUAAGUAGGUAUAAUUUCAGUAUUGAUGUAAAGACAUACUGGACAUUUUUGCAUCCCUGGUGGAAUACUUAAUUGUGUUCAUCGCUCACAGCGCAAUGGAAGUUUACUGUAGCUCGAACAGGACUCCAAGGCAGGCUAAUGAUGAUGUGCAGAUGAUGUUUGUGCCACACCAAUUUGCAAAUGAUUGUUGUCAGUAAGUUACCCAACUAUGAACUGUCAGCCUGUGGUGGUUCCCUCAGGUGGGUGGAAACUGAAAUUUAUACCAAAUAAUCAUGUUCACGUUGACAAAUAUAACGGAAUCAAUGAUGGCUGCAGUGCCCUAUCAAGACCAACCAACGCAAUAGAUUUAAGACAUGUUCCCUAUCCCAACCUUUAAAAGUUGGCACACUAGAAGGAUAAAGCACUCCAGAGCCCGGUACUAUAGGUACAGUCGCACAGUGCAGCUCCUGCUGUCUGACAAAAUGAAUACCACUUUCAUAACUAUGUUGGAUUCCUCUUUUCAAGCAAAAUUAAUAGAUGUGAUGUUUCCACGAAUGGCUUUGUGCUGACUAUAUGGAAAUAGCCAAGGGUGGUUUUAUAAAUAUUUUUUUAGAACUUGGGACAAGGCUUUCCCUCCCUAUUGUUCUUAACAGAGUUUGGCAGAGCUAAACCCACAUAAAAUAUUACUGAAAAUUCUCACGUUCCACAGCUGAGUUGUUACUGCAUAUUGGUCUCUGUAGUAUUUAAUUACUAAUUGAUCCACAUGGUGGAAAACAGAAUUAAAUAGAAUACUUUUUGUUCUUUUGAACUGAAUAUUGUAUCUCAGUGGCACUGACUAAAAUAAAUUUCCUUCUUAUAUCUUUCAUAGUUCUACAAAAAUAUCAUAAAAUGUUGUUGACCUCAUUUAUGGAUUUUCCCAGUAAGCCUAGAAAUACCUGCUGUAAUAUGGCACAGCAAUAAAAAGUAGGACUUUGGUGGACGGUGUUGUUUUCCUAUGGCAUCAAGUGUGAAAUCUUGAAGAAGAACAGAAGUUGUAAGAGUUUUAAUAUAUAUAACUAUUAAACUCUGAUUUCAUAUAAAAAUUCCUUUUCCAUUAUUGCCCUGAAGUGAAUAUUUAAUUGGCAGCCUGAUUUUCAGCAGGCAGCGAAGCAUACAGGUGAAUACAAAAAGGAAUUGCUUUCAUGCUGUUACCAACUACUGGUAUAUGAUUCCUCUCCAGGCUGACUCAUAUUUGCUUCAGCUGUCAGUGGAGUGUUCCUUCCUGUUUCCAGUGGCUAGCAAGCACCAAACCCACAGAUCUUUCUCUUCUGCUCCAGUCACCAGAGAAGCAGAUUGUUUCACAUGGACUGUGGUUUAUCAUCAUUUCAGCAAGUACUCAGUCUGUAAGACCCAUCGCCAAUAUUUUCCCCCACACUUCUUUUUAUCAGAACUAUACAAAGUACAAAGAUGGUGAGGAUGCAGAUGGAAUUGUGUCUAACUGCAUGUUACUGAGGAAUGAUUCCAUACUAGGAGUUUACCACAAAGAAAAAGCAAAUCCCUCCUCAGGAACGCUGGGGACGAGCAGAAAUGUCUCUCUGAGGGCUCGUCGGGCUGUGCAUGCCUCACGGGGCCGCAGAUAAAGACUUCACCCUAUGGUACUAUGCAGAUUUAAUGCAUUUAUGCAAGUUUAUGAAUAACUCAUAGGAAAAAAAAAAUCUAUGAUUGUGUUUUC